rnacentral:misc_RNA from 1 species
CGGUAAUACACGCCCUAAUGGGUGGGCAUAUCGAUUCCCAACCACCAAUACAACAAUACUCUACCACUGGUCAGCCAGCCUCUGCGACGUGGAGCCCUUGGAUGAAAAAGAUCGAAACACCGAUUACGCCAUGCAUCUUGAUCGACCACCUGCAUUCCUACAGCGAUAUAUUAAUAAAUUUGAUGUGUUGGUUCUAAACACAGGGCACCACUGGAAUCGCGGAAAGCUGAAGGCUAACCGCUGGGUGAUGCAUGUAAAUGGCAAGCCAAACAAUGACAAGAAACUCG